rnacentral:rRNA from 2 species
UCUGGUAAUGAUGGCAGAGAGGUCACACCCGUUCCCAUACCGAACACGGAAGUUAAGCUCUCUAGCGCCGAUGGUAGU